GACGAACGCUGGCGGCGUGCCUAAUACAUGCAAGUCGAGCGAGCUUGCCUAGAUGAAUUUGGUGCUUGCACCAAAUGAAACUAGAUACAAGCGAGCGGCGGACGGGUGAGUAACACGUGGGUAACCUGCCCAAGAGACUGGGAUAACACCUGGAAACAGAUGCUAAUACCGGAUAACAACACUAGACGCAUGUCUAGAGUUUAAAAGAUGGUUCUGCUAUCACUCUUGGAUGGACCUGCGGUGCAUUAGCUAGUUGGUAAGGUAACGGCUUACCAAGGCAAUGAUGCAUAGCCGAGCUGAGAGACUGAUCGGCCACAUUGGGACUGAGACACGGCCCAAACUCCUACGGGAGGCAGCAGUAGGGAAUCUUCCACAAUGGACGCAAGUCUGAUGGAGCAACGCCGCGUGAGUGAAGAAGGGUUUCGGCUCGUAAAGCUCUGUUGGUAGUGAAGAAAGAUAGAGGUAGUAUUC
rnacentral:rRNA from 1 species